UGCAAGUCGAGCGAACAGAUAAGGAGCUUGCUCCUUUGACGUUAGCGGCGGACGGGUGAGUAACACGUGGGUAACCUACCUAUAAGACUGGGAUAACUUCAGGGAAACCGGAGCUAAUACCGGAUAACAUUUGGAACCGCAUGGUUCUAAAGUGAAAGAUGGUUUUGCUAUCACUUAUAGAUGGACCCGCGCCGUAUUAGCUAGUUGGUAAGGUAACGGCUUACCAAGGCAACGAUACGUAGCCGACCUGAGAGGGUGAUCGGCCACACUGGAACUGAGACACGGUCCAGACUCCUACGGGAGGCAGCAGUAGGGAAUCUUCCGCAAUGGGCGAAAGCCUGACGGAGCAACGCCGCGUGAGUGAUGAAGGGUUUCGGCUCGUAAAACUCUGUUAUUAGGGAAGAACAAAUGUGUAAGUAACUGUGCACAUCUUGACGGUACCUAAUCAGAAAGCCACGGCUAACUACGUGCCAGCAGCCGCGGUAAUACGUAGGUGGCAAGCGUUAUCCGGAAUUAUUGGGCGUAAAGCGCGCGUAGGCGGUUUCUUAAGUCUGAUGUGAAAGCCCACGGCUCAACCGUGGAGGGUCAUUGGAAACUGGGAAACUUGAGUGCAGAAGAGGAAAGUGGAAUUCCAUGUGUAGCGGUGAAAUGCGCAGAGAUAUGGAGGAACACCAGUGGCGAAGGCGACUUUCUGGUCUGUAACUGACGCUGAUGUGCGAAAGCGUGGGGAUCAAACAGGAUUAGAUACCCUGGUAGUCCACGCCGUAAACGAUGAGUGCUAAGUGUUAGGGGGUUUCCGCCCCUUAGUGCUGCAGCUAACGCAUUAAGCACUCCGCCUGGGGAGUACGACCGCAAGGUUGAAACUCAAAGGAAUUGACGGGGACCCGCACAAGCGGUGGAGCAUGUGGUUUAAUUCGAAGCAACGCGAAGAACCUUACCAAAUCUUGACAUCCUUUGAAAACUCUAGAGAUAGAGCCUUCCCCUUCGGGGGACAAAGUGACAGGUGGUGCAUGGUUGUCGUCAGCUCGUGUCGUGAGAUGUUGGGUUAAGUCCCGCAACGAGCGCAACCCUUAAGCUUAGUUGCCAUCAUUAAGUUGGGCACUCUAGGUUGACUGCCGGUGACAAACCGGAGGAAGGUGGGGAUGACGUCAAAUCAUCAUGCCCCUUAUGAUUUGGGCUACACACGUGCUACAAUGGACAAUACAAAGGGCAGCUAAACCGCGAGGUCAUGCAAAUCCCAUAAAGUUGUUCUCAGUUCGGAUUGUAGUCUGCAACUCGACUACAUGAAGCUGGAAUCGCUAGUAAUCGUAGAUCAGCAUGCUACGGUGAAUACGUUCCCGGGUCUUGUACACACCGCCCGUCACACCACGAGAGUUUGUAACACCCGAAGCCGGUGGAGUAACCAUUUAUGGAGCUAG
rnacentral:rRNA from 1 species